rnacentral:rRNA from 1 species
GACGAACGCUGGCGGCGUGCCUAAUACAUGCAAGUAGGACGCAGUUGCGAACGGGUGAGUAACGCGUAGGUAACUACCUAUUAGAGGGGGAUAACUAUUGGAAACGAUAGCUAAUACCGCAUACUAGUAGAUGGACCUGCGUUGUAUUAGCUAGUAGGUAGGGUAAUGGCCUACCUAGGCAACGAUACAUAGCCGACCUGAGCGGGGUGGCGGCCACAAUGUGACCUGUGAACUGCCCAGACGUCGACCGGAGGCAGCGGUAGGGAAUCUUUGGAAAUUGGGGGAACCCUGACCGAGCAACGCCGCGUGGGGUAAGAAGGGUUUUGGAACGUAAAGCUCUGGUGUUAAGGAAGCGGUACUUAACCAGAAAGGGACGGCUAACUACGUGCCAGCAGCCGCGGUAAUAC